rnacentral:rRNA from 1 species
GCGGUGGAGCAUGUGGUUUAAUUCGACGCAACGCGAAGAACCUUACCAGGGCUUGACAUCCCCUGACCGCGUAUGAAAGUACGUUUUCACCUCGGGUGACAGGGAGACAGGUGGUGCAUGGUUGUCGUCAGCUCGUGUCGUGAGAUGUUGGGUUAAGUCCCGCAACGAGCGCAACCCCUACGUUUAGUUGCUAACGCGUGAAGGCGAGCACUCUAGACGAACUGCCGUUGACAAACGGAGGAAGUGGGAUGACGUCAAAUCAUCAUGCCCCCUAUGACCUGGGCUACACACGUGCUACAAUGGUUGGUACAACGAGUUGCGAGUCGGUGACGGCGAGCUAAUCUCUUAAAGCCAAUCUCAGUUCGGAUUGUAGGCUGCAACUCGCCUACAUGAAGUCGGAAUCGCUAGUAAUCGCGGAUCAGCACGCCGCGGUGAAUACGUUCCCGGGCCUU